rnacentral:rRNA from 1 species
AGCGAACGCUGGCGGCAGGCUUAACACAUGCAAGUCGAACGGGCACUUCGGUGCUAGUGGCAGACGGGUGAGUAACGCGUGGGAACGUGCCUUUCGGUUCGGAAUAAUCCAGGGAAACUUGGACUAAUACCGGAUACGCCCUUCGGGGAAAGAUUUAUCGCCGAAAGAUCGGCCCGCGUCUGAUUAGCUAGUUGGUGAGGUAAAGGCUCACCAAGGCGACGAUCAGUAGCUGGUCUGAGAGGAUGAUCAGCCACACUGGGACUGAGACACGGCCCAGACUCCUACGGGAGGCAGCAGUGGGGAAUAUUGGACAAUGGGCGAAAGCCUGAUCCAGCCAUGCCGCGUGAGUGAUGAAGGCCUUAGGGUUGUAAAGCUCUUUUGUCCGGGAAGAUAAUGACUGUACCGGAAGAAUAAGCCCCGGCUAACUUCGUGCCAGCAG